rnacentral:rRNA from 1 species
CCCCUAGAUGUUCUGGGCCGCACGCGCGCUACACUGAACAGUUCAACAAGUCUUAACCUUGGCCGAUAGGUCUGGGUAAUCUUUGAACGCUGUUCGUGAUUGGGAUAGACCUUUGCAAUUAUGGGUCUUCAACGAGGAAUUCCUAGUAAACGCAAGUCAUAAGCUUGCGCUGACUACGUCCCUGCCCUUUGUACACACCGCCCGUCGCUACUACCGAUUGAAUGAUUUAGUGAGGACUUCGGACUGGGACCGAUGCGGCUUUCGGGCUGCGUCGGUAUUCUGGAAAGAUGUCCAAACUGUAUCAUUUAGAGGAAGUAAAANUCGUANCA